AUGGAUAAAGAAGCCAAAAUGAUAAUGGGGUCCUCAAAACCUGUAGAUAAGCAUGAAUAUGAAUAUGAUUAUGUAUGUUAUGUGUCUAAGGGUGUAUUUUUAUCCCUUCUUUUUAUCUUUUGUUAUCUUUUUUGUUUUUGUUUUUUAUCCAAGGAUUUCUCAUGUGUACUCUUUAAUUUAUGUGACAAGUUAGACUUUUAA